rnacentral:lncRNA from 1 species
UUUUCAAUGCCUUAAGAAAUUAAUGUUGACCAUGAGUAUGAUUGGCUUAUAUACAUGUAUAAUUAUAUAAGUGCAUUGAUUUCAGAAAUAAAGAGAAUAAUUUAGUUUGUAUAACUGUUUUUACAGUGGGGUUAGUAUGUUCAUAUGCUAUUUUCUAAACUUUGUUUUUGUGUCCACUCGCCCUUUUUAAUGUUUUGCGCCCCCAGGCAGUAGGCGUGCACAGGGAUCUACCACCGAGCCGUUUUCCACCUUCCGCGCUUUCCUUUUGAUGUAGGACUUUUUGUUUUGUCAAAGGAUUGACUCAUUUGUAAAUUCUUAGUAGUCGUUCUGAUAAUUUGCCCUAGAAUUAGAAUGUAACUGUUGGAAUGUAUAUAUACGUAUCCUGGCAGCUGGUUGUGUAUAUAUGCUUGUUUGGCAGGUGUAAAUGUUUUGGGAUUGAUCCAAUUUACAAGGGAGACUCUGCCGAUUUUUCGGUAGGAGUCAACCUUGUUAUUUUAUCAUGCUUUGUAGCGAAGGGCAAUUAGGUCAUUCGUGCCCGACAUCCGCCAGGUGUCGGACACGCACAGGGUCCC